rnacentral:piRNA from 1 species
UAAUGACUGUUUGCCUGUCUUUAACCA